rnacentral:rRNA from 1 species
GACGAAGGGGGCUAGCGUUGUUCGGAAUUACUGGGCGUAAAGCGUGCGCAGGCGGUUAUGUAAGACAGGUGUGAAAUCCCAGGGCUUAACCUUGGAACUGCAUUUGUGACUGCAUAGCUAGAGUACGGUAGAGGGGGAUGGAAUUCCGCGUGUAGCAGUGAAAUGCGUAGAUAUGCGGAGGAACACCGAUGGCGAAGGCAAUCCCCUGGACCUGUACUGACGCUCAUGCACGAAAGCGUGGGGAGCAAACAGG